rnacentral:rRNA from 1 species
AGCAGUAGCCGCGGUAAUGCGUAGGGUGCGAGCGUUAAUCGGAAUUACUGGGCGUAAAGCGUGCGCAGGCGGUUUUGUAAGACAGGCGUGAAAUCCCCGGGCUCAACCUGGGAAUGGCGCUUGUGACUGCGAAGCUAGAGUGCGGCAGAGGGGGAUGGAAUUCCGCGUGUAGCAGUGAAAUGCGUAGAUAUGCGGAGGAACACCGAUGGCGAAGGCAAUCCCCUGGGCCUGCACUGACGCUCAUGCACGAAAGCGUGGGGAGCAAACAGGAUUAGAUACCCGUGUAGUCCCUGUCUCUUAUAC